AACGAACGCUGGCGGCGUGGAUAAGACAUGCAAGUCGAACGAGAAUUCAUUUAUAGCAAUAUGGAUGGAUUCUAGUGGCGAAAGGGUGCGUAACACGUGGCCACCUACCUCGAAGUUGGGGAUAGCUCGGCGAAAGCCGGAUUAAUACCGAAUGUGAUCGCAAGAUCAAAGCUGGGGAUCGUAGGACCUGGCGCUUGGAGAUGGGGCUGCGGCCUAUCAGGUAGUUGGCGGGGUAAUGGCCCACCAAGCCUAAGACGGGUAGCUGGUCUGAGAGGACGACCAGCCACACUGGAACUGAGACACGGUCCAGACAUCUACGGGUGGCAGCAGUCGAGGAUUUUUCUCAAUGGGGAAACCCUGAAGGAGCGACGCCGCGUGAGGGAUGAAGGUCUUCGGAUUGUAAACCUCUGUCAUCUGGGAACAAUGUGAUCUACCUAACACGUGGAUCAUUGAUAGUACCGGAAGAGGAAGCAGUGC
rnacentral:rRNA from 1 species